rnacentral:rRNA from 1 species
AACGCGAAGAACCUUACCAGGUCUUGACAUCCUCUGACAACCCUAGAGAUAGGGCUUCUCCUUCGGGAGCAGAGUGACAGGUGGUGCAUGGUUGUCGUCAGCUCGUGUCGUGAGAUGUUGGGUUAAGUCCCGCAACGAGCGCAACCCUUGAUCUUAGUUGCCAUCAUUUAGUUGGGCACUCUAAGGUGACUGCCGGUGACAAACCGGAGGAAGGUGGGGAUGACGUCAAAUCAUCAUGCCCCUUAUGACCUGGGUUACACACGUGCUACAAUGGACGGUACAAAGAGCUGCAAGACCGCGAGGUGGAGCUAAUCUCAUAAAACCGUUCUCAGUUCGGAUUGUAGGCUGCAACUCGCCUACAUGAAGCUGGAAUCGCUAGUAAUCGCGGAUCAGCAUGCCGCGGUGAAUACGUUCCCGGGCCUUGUACACACCG